rnacentral:rRNA from 1 species
AUUGAACGCUGGCGGCAGGCCUAACACAUGCAAGUCGAGCGAGAGGCGGACGGGUGAGUAAUGUAUGGGGACUGCCUGAUAGAGGGGGAUAACUACUGUAAACGGUGGCUAAUACCGCAUACUAUCCGAUAACCCAUAUGGGAUUAGCUAGUAGGUGGGGUAAAGGCUCACCUAGGCGACGAUCCCUAGCUGGUCUGAGAGGAUGAUCAGCCACACUGGGACUGAGACACGGCCCAGACUCCUACGGAGGCAGCAGUGGGGAAUAUUGCACAAUGGGCGCAAGCCUGAUGCAGCCAUGCCGCGUGUAUGAAGAAGGCCUUCGGGUUGUAAAGUACUUUCAGCGGGGAGGCGUUACCCGAAGAAGAAGCACCGGCUAACUCCGUGCCAGCAGCCGCGGUAAUAC